rnacentral:rRNA from 1 species
CCUACGGGUGGCAGCAGUGGGGAAUAUUGCGCAAUGGGCGAAAGCCUGACGCAGCGACGCCGCGUGAGGGAUGAAGGUCUUCGGAUCGUAAACCUCUGUCAGCAGGGAAGAACGGUCACUGUGCUAAUCAGCAGUGAAUUGACGGUACCUGCAAAGGAAGCACCGGCUAACUCCGUGCCAGCAGCCGCGGUAAGACGGAGGGUGCGAGCGUUAAUCGGAAUUACUGGGCGUAAAGCGCUCGUAGGCGGUAUGUCAAGUCAAGGGUGAAAUCCCCGCGCUCAACGUGGGAACUGCCUUUGAAACUGGCAAACUGGAGUGUGGGAGAGGAUGGUGGAAGUCCAGGUGUAGGGGUGAAAUGCGUAGAUAUCAGGAGGAACAUCAGUGGCGAAGGCGACUAUCUGGCACAUAACUGACGCUGAGGAGCGAAAGCGUGGGUAGCAAACAGGAUUAGAUACCCCAGUAGUC